rnacentral:rRNA from 1 species
GACGAACGCUGGCGGCGUGCUUAACACAUGCAAGUCGAGCGGUAAGGCCCUUUCGGGGGUACACGAGCGGCGAACGGGUGAGUAACACGUGGGUGACCUGCCCUCAGCUCUGGGAUAAGCCUGGGAAACUGGGUCUAAUACCGGAUAUGACCACAUGUCGCAUGGUGUGUGGUGGAAAGUUUUUUCGGCUGGGGAUGGGCCCGCGGCCUAUCAGCUUGUUGGUGGGGUGAUGGCCUACCAAGGCGACGACGGGUAGCCGGCCUGAGAGGGCGACCGGCCACACUGGGACUGAGACACGGCCCAGACUCCUACGGGAGGCAGCAGUGGGGAAUAUUGCGCAAUGGGCGGAAGCCUGACGCAGCGACGCCGCGUGGGGGAUGACGGCCUUCGGGUUGUAAACCUCUUUCGACCUUGACGAAGGCCUUCGGGUUG